AAGAUAUUUACUCCGUGACGCUAAAUGGCUUAAGUCGAGGGGCGUUAUGGUAAUUUCAGCAUGCUUAGUGGAUUUCCACUAAACCCCCUGCCAGGCUCCUCUUCAUCCUUAUCCCCUGCCACUCCUCCCCUCUGCAGCAUCAUACGUAGAGAGAGAGAGAUGGAGAAAAGAAGAGAAAAGAGAAGAAAAAGAAGAAGAAGAAGCAGAUGAAGAAGGAAAAAAAAAAGAAAGAAAGCAAGAUAGAAGUCCGAACACGAAAUUGACUACGUACAAACCAAAUUGGGGGUAAAAGAAACUCGCUGGCGAAGUCGGUUCGGCAAUCCGACGCUCCUACGCG